GGAGGAAAGCAGGGGAUCGCAAGACCUUGCGCUCUUGGAGCGGCCGAUGUCUGAUUAGCUAGUUGGUGAGGUAAAGGCUUACCAAGGCGACGAUCAGUAGCUGGUCUGAGAGGACGACCAGCCACACUGGGACUGAGACACGGCCCAGACUCCUACGGGAGGCAGCAGUGGGGAAUUUUGGACAAUGGGGGAAACCCUGAUCCAGCCAUGCCGCGUGAGUGAAGAAGGCCUUCGGGUUGUAAAGCUCUUUCAGCCGGAACGAAACGGUCACAGCUAAUACCUGUGACUACUGACGGUACCGGAAGAAGAAGCACCGGCUAACUACGUGCCAGCAGCCGCGGUAAUGCGUAGGGUGCAAGCGUUAAUCGGAAUUACUGGGCGUAAAGCGUGCGCAGGCGGUUUUGUAAGUCAGAUGUGAAAUCCCCGGGCUUAACCUGGGAACUGCGUUUGAAACUACAAAGCUAG
rnacentral:rRNA from 1 species